UUUUCGGGUGAAAAGACCUCCGGACGGCUCAAAUCAAACCAAAAUAACUGCAAAGUACAAAUAAAAAGUAUAAGAAACUAUUCCGGAUCUUAAAGUCUCAAUCUUGAAUAAGAUUCAAAAAAGGUCCAAAAGUCGACCCUUGAGCCCACACCUCGGAACUCGACAAAUUUUAAAAAAACCGAAUCCCCAUUCUGAUAUGAGUUUAAACAUACAAAAAUUAUCAAAUUUUGAUACCAUUUGGUCCCUCAAAUCAUGAUUUUUCAUCUCAGAAAUUUUCUUCAAAAACCAACAUUUCCCUCAACCAAAAGCACAAUUUAAAUGAUGAAAACAAAUAUAAAAUCAUGGAAUAUGUUAAAUUAUAGGUGAAGAACACUUACCCAAUCGAUUUGCUUGAAAACCCCUUGAUGAAUUGCUCAAAACCGAGCUCUACAAGUCAAGACAUGAUAAAAAUGGACUAACCCAUGAUUUGGGAAUAUAUUCUACCUCCCCAGGUAUUUAUGCAUCAUGAACACGGAGGAAGCAUCGCAUUUGGGAAGAAGAAAAAUGAUGGAUGCCCAGGUUGUUCAUCGCGAACGCGACAAUAAGCUCGCGAAUGUAGAGAAGAGAAGAUAUAAACCUAUGCGAAAGCGUAGGGAAUCAUGCGAAUGCGAAGAGUAACGACCACCAGUACUCAGGGCCUGGUUACUACUACGCAAACACGGAAUUGAGGAUGCGAAUGCGAUGAAGAAAAUGUGCAGGGCUACGUGAUCGCGAGGCGUAUUACGCAAACGCAAAGAAGAAAAUUAGGGAGAUCAGCAGAGUCUCUUCGCGAACGAGAAAGGAGCUUCGCGAUCGCGAAGAAGGAUAUCAGACACUAGAACCAAUAGUUCAAAAACAAGGGAAAAUGACCUGUAACCCACCCGGAACACACCCGAUGCCCCUAGGACCCCAUCUAAACACACAAACAAGUUCUAUAACCCAAUACUGACUCGCUCAAGGUUUUAGUUUACCGUGCAAAUGGUAACAACAAUUAAAUUUGUAAAUGGGAUUCUAAAAAUACGUGAUCUAUUUUUAUACUAGUUGUUAGAGCAGUUGAUGCUGAGAGUAUGAAGUUUAAUGAAGAAAUACAAGCUAAAGCGGGUCAGUAAUCAAACCGAUAUGCCUGCAGCUCGAGCCUCGGACUGGUCGAUGAAGGACCUCGUGGUGGAUAUCUGGAUCGAGCUUGAGCUAUCAAGGGUAGUCGGGGAUGGGAUAACAGUUGAGAUAUGAUCAAAGAAGGCUCUUUAUGGACCAUACCAAGCAAUGAAUGGAGAACAAAUAUGAAGCUAAUAACGGUAAGAGCGGCCUCGAGCUAGUAGGAACGAGUAAGUUAGAGAGAAGAGAGAGAGAGAGAUUAUUGAUCUUGUGGAGAAAAUAGAUGAAGCAACAGUAGUAUGGGUUCCCUUUAUAUAGGAGGGGAACUCGGUUAUAGUACAAUAUACAUUAAUUAUAAAGUAUGGAUAUGGGAUGGCAAGACGUGACACUUCGGCAUAGGCUCUAGAUAGGCCAGCUCUGCCAGACUUUACCAUGUAUCUUGGGAACUUGCCCUCCUGCUCUAGCCCCGACCUUCAUUUUCUUUGAGUCGGGGCCCAAAGAUCCCCGAGGGAGGGGACUCGGUCGCAGCUCCACGUCCUUGGGGUCUCGAGGUAUUCUUCCAAAGUGGCUUCACAGCGAGAAAUUAAGUCCUCUAAUUUUGCCACAUAUAGAUAUUUUCCGCGUUUUUCAGAAAGAAGCGAUGGGAAAUGAUUCUGACACCUGACUCCACGAGCUUCUUACGGCGACGUCAUACCAAUGAUGUAAUUUGUGGCAUGAGCUUUUGUGGAAAUCUGGGCGUCUCAUGGACUUGUAUAUUUGACAUCUUUCAAUGCACUGUCGAUUCUCGUUCUUCAAGAUAAAUGUUCCGUCGUCGGUUUGGUUCUUCAAGAAUGUUUGCGUCCGCCAGUCAAUCUUCCAAAGCCUCGAUGACCAUGUCAUUACCCCCUAUAAAUGGGGGUGGUUUGGCGUUGUUUUUUCUAUCCAAAUACCUUCGUUGGCUCAGUUGCCCAUUUCUUUUUAUCAUCUUCCUCCAUCCUUGAACGCUAUAUGUUUGGGGCUCAUGGCCUCAAGUCCUUUCAGCAGAGUUCCCGUAGGCUUUGUUAUGGCCUCUUGCCGGAGCUUCCCUUUGUCGAGCAUAACCAUUCCGUCCUGUUGCUGCUGUGGUUGCUGUUACGUCUACUACUACUGCUUUUGUUUGCUCGAGAUGAUGACACAUGAGGGUCAACUUUCCUUGCUCGUAAAAAUCUAUUCGUAUUAUAUACUGCUGCUCAAAAGGGGGAUUAGAUUAUACACCGCUGCUCACCUUCAUACACCAGCUCGACGUGGUGCUCUGCCUCGAGCUGGUAGCUUGCACGGCUAGAUAUCCCAAGAAAUAGACUCUAAGUAGCCGUUCAAGCAGGACCGAGGCUCGCCCGGUCCGCUGUCUCUCCGAGGUUCUUUUGGCCAGCGAGGGUCCUCGACCUUCGGAGAGCUACGACAUUUUUUCAUCCCUCCUUGCUGCUCGCCCUAUCCUUUGGGGAUAUCAGUAUGGAAGGCCGAGAUGAGGCUUCUGAGGAUGUGUUCCCGGAGGCACCUAUUGCAGGAGGCAGACCCUUGGAGGUGGACCAGUCUCUUAGGCUUUUAUCUCGCGUGUGCACCCUUUUGUUUCUUCCUUUAUGCAUAAGAACCCCUUGCGGUCUUUUGUAAUUGUAUGUAAGGACCCCUCGAGGGCUGUUGUACAUGGAUAUUUAUGAAUAUGAAGAUACUUCCUUGAUUUUUGUUUUCGAUUCUUGCCCUAUUAUUGUGUGCUAUCGUGCCUUUCAAGGCCUUUAAAUCUUUUCAUUUGUUAUUGACCACUGAUAUAUAACUCUGAUCUGAGCCCUUUGUCGUACCUAGGACCAAGCCUAAAUUUAUCUGAUAGACUCGGGUUGUCGGGCCCUUCAAGUUGCAUGGAGAUAAUAUGCCGAGUUUUGGAGAUUUUGAGAGAGGUAUCCUGAGCAAAGGUCAGCUUUGGGUACCUGGGGGUCUACUUUGAACUUGAUGUAGAUAGCCUUUUAAAGCGUAGUGGAUAGACUUCCGUUGAGGGGUUGCCUAUACAUAGGCGAUGCCUCGAGCCCUCCCAGAGCCUUCAUGAUAGGGGCUUCGCGUGCUUUUUUUUCCUUUUAGAAAGAAAAACCAUGACAUUGGAUACCGACUCGAGUUCUAUGAUGGCAUUGAAGGCUUCCCAAAGCCUGACUUCUUUUUUAGUGGAGAUCCACGAGGUCGGGUACUACCUUGAGACUGGAAACGAUAUAGUUAACUCCUUGAGGCCUAACUUCUUGUUGAUGGAUGCCUCUAAGGUCGGGUACCACCCCGAUAUCUGUACUGAGGCCGCUGGCCUCCCGGGGCUUACUUUGGAUAGGCGAAUCAUUGCUGUUUCCCACAUAUAUGUGGGGUGGAUUUCACUUCUUUGGGAGAUUUCAUUAUUUUGGAUAGGUAUCCCUCCGCCUUGGCAUUAGAUCCUUCGUCUUUUCAGGCACAAAAAGCAUUGGCACAUGUCCUUGCUUUAGUCUGUCAAUUCUACCAUAGCCAUGGCAGCUACUUCGGGUCCAGCCCGGCAGGGAGGGGAGAGUUCCAUUCCCAGCGUCCAGGAUUCGCGGGAGUUCUCUCUGAAGACAUUGACUUCGAUAAAAGAGGAACAUCUGGAGAUGGUGAGGAGAUACUACAAAUGGAGCCAGGGGAUAACGUUGUAGGUGCUUUCCCCGGAGGAUAGUAUUACGGACUCUGUUGAUGGAUUCUUGAGCGUACUAUAUUCUUUCGCAUUUGGCCCCCUUGAUAGGGUCAUGCCUGAUUUAUGCUUGAAGUAUGGGGUUACUUUGGCAUAGAUACAUCCGGCAUUUUGGCGAGUGGUGCUGAUGAUGAGGUUCUUUGCAGGUAUCAGGCUGUUCCUUGGGGUGAGGUUAUGCUCCUCCGGAGAGGGGAAAGAGUCAUCGGCCUCCGAGAUGAGGGACGAUGGUGAUAAAAGGGAUUCGCACCUGCAGUGUGAUAGAGCUUUUAAUGGGGCUCAACAGGCCAGUGUCUUCGAGAAGGGGACAUCGCCCGAGCCUACUAUUCCUGGAGCGUUCGAUUCCAGAAUUGUGGUUCAUUCGAGUGAAUAUGCUUUGACCGAGGUUGGCUCGUCUGGGGCCGAAGGGGCAGGACCAAUAGGAGUGUGCUCUACCUUCGAGGAAGUUCGCCGACUUCACUUCAUGGUGAGUUUCGGCACAGUCCUUCUGUAUUUCGCAUCUUCCUUUCUUUAUCGAGUCUUUCUUUUGCAGGCCUUUGAUAGGCUCAGGUCUGAGCUGCUCUGUCAUUGGUCCAGGCUUCAGAAAGCUCUAGAUGAAUGUGAGUCCCUUAGGCUCCUUAUGAGAACUAUUUGAUGGAGCAGGUGACCUUUCGUAGUACGCGCUUUACCCUUUUUGACCCUAAAGGUUAAUCCUUUUGCCUAUCUUAGCUGCAGAAAAAGAUAGAGACUUUGGAGUACCUUACAGGCGAAGCCGACCGCGUCAGGAAUGCUUGCAGUGAACUGAGGGCUCAGGUGCAAGCUCAAGGCUUAAAGGAGAGGGGUGCCUUGGCCAAGGUUCCUGCCUUCGAGGCCCAACUCCGCUUGGCUCAUGACAAUGCUUCAGUUCAAGCGGAUAUGAUCGUUAGAGUCCGAUCUCUCAAAGGUCAGAGCUAAGAUAAUCGAUGCCCGGGCAGAAGAACCAUUAAGUCAAACCAAGGCUGGUCAGGAGAUGGCGAUUCAUAUGAAGGACGUUGUUGAUGCCCAAGCUGAGUUGAAGCAGGCCAUCGAUUGUAAGAAGAGGAUCGAGGAAUAUGUUCGUUGCAUACCCCAAAGAGAGGUACUCGAGGAGAUCGGCACUAGGAGAAUUGUUCUCUUUGAAGAGUUGGCUCGAGCAAGGGCGGACGAGCGCGAUGCUCGAUCACUUCUUACUGAAAUCAUGGACUGCGAAUCUAGGGCUAGCAGGCUAUAGCCUCUUGGAGCGGAGCAUAGAUUUCACCAUUUUUCUAUUUUGUAUUUGAUAUUUGAUAUUUGCAAAGAAUGUUUAUAGAUGGAGAGCGCACCUUUUGCGUAUGUAAAUAAGAGAAAACUUGAAGCUUUAUCUCUUUUGUAUCUCUUUUUGCAUUGCUUUCGACCAAGCAGGCUGGUUUCAGUGUUUGGCAGGAUCCCCAUGGGUCCGGAGCUAAUUAGGUAGGCCCGAAGGCUCUUAAGUGCGAUUUGUGAUGCGAGUAGGUGUUAGGGCCUUUGUGCUUUGCCCAGCUUUUUCAGGCUUAGUCCCCGAGUCAGGCCUUGACUAGAACUUACUUGACCUUCAAUCUCAUUUGCCUGCAUGGGCGGAUGAUGAUUGUUCUUGUCCCUUGCCCUUGGGCAUUUGUGUUUCAACUAUUUUGGGUCUAGUAUCCGAGUCGCGUUGCGAAUCGAGCUUUAAUUGAUCCUCGAGUUUUUUCGUGCAUGCAUGGGCAGAUGACGAUGGCUCUUGCGCUUUAGGUAGAAGCGACCUUUUAAGUGUGUGGCCCGGAGGCUUGUUUGACUGGCGACAAUGGCACUUAGAUUGUGCCCUUAGGCAUUUGUAGUUAACUAUUUUGGAUCCGGACUUCGAAUCGGGUUACGACUCAAACUCAUUUUAAUCCUCAAGUUUUAAAUUUUCAAGCUGGUGGUAGUGGCUCUUAAUCUGUUUGGUCGUUAAGACCUUUUAGUGUGCGGCCCGGAGGCUCGUUUGGCUGGUGACAAUAGCUCUUAUGCUUUUGCCCAUUGGCAUUUUGUAGGCAUUUUUUUCUUCUCGUUAAGGUCUUUUUGAAAUGAUUUUGCCUGACCCGUCAUCGGUUCGGGAAGAACCUUGAUUUCAAGUCGUUAGCGGCGAUGUUUGAGCACCUCAGAAGGUUCUUAACUCGUAGAUUGAGUAGCUCGAAGCCUUGUGAUUUGGAGCUGACAUGGUCAAAGCUCAUUUACCUGUUGAGGGAAGCCCGUUUUAACCGGUUCUUUUUGAAGUAUAUUCGAAGUAAUGGCAUGCGAUUUUGUUAGCGACAGUCGGGCAUCCCCGAGUCGCAUUAAUUUGGCUGGUGCAACCGUUUUGACUGUAUUAAUAUGUGUUUGGCUGGAUCCAUUUUUGAUCCCGAGUGAUAGUUUAGGCGUCUACACUGAAGGUAUGCCUUUUCGAGAUUCUUACAAAUACGACGUAUGGCCUAAAAUUCAGAAUUGAGUUUUAUGCCUAUAGUAAGGUCUUACAAAAUUUUCAUGCCUGUUGAUGUCUUAUAGUUUGUCAUGCCUGUUGAGGUCUUAUAGUUUGUCAUGCUUGUUGAGGUCUUACAGAUUUGUUGCUAUGUAGAACAGAUCUGGUUAUACUAAGUCUGCCCGCUCAGGGUCUUACGGCCUCAGGUUUUCAAGUGUACGGCGAUUGGCGACAGUCUCUGAAUCAUUGAGUUUUCUUAGGCUCGAAGGCCAUUAUUAGUGAGCUCAGAGUUACCUUGCUAGGGAUUUAUGAGCCCGGAGUUCCGAUCCUGGUGUCGUGCGGGUGUCAAAUUGUUGACGCUAAGUCUCCGAGUAUUUCGGGAUGCAUUUGGUAGCGGGAUCCCUGCCGAGAGUAUGCUGAAAUUUCCUUUUUUGGAGUAUGAGAUGCUGAAAGAUAUUCUUUUAUCUCUUGGCGUAAAUACAUAUUGUUUCAUUGUUGUGAGCUUGGCCUGAGUGGGUGCGGUUCCUUGGAACGUUUGAUCCGGUACAUGAUUCCCUAUUGAAAUUCAAUCUACUGUUCCCCGGCCCUUUCAAGCGGGCGGCGCCUUCAAAGGGGGGGGUGUCCUUCAUCGUUUGAUUGCAGAAGAAGGCCUAUGAUCUUGUAGGAUCCUCCUCAGGGGUUACGUUGCUCCGCUAAGAAACUCGCUGGCGAGACCCUCUUCAGGGCGGAAGUCCGGCCGAGGGGAAAGAGCGCGAUGGGUUCUGUUAAGGCCUUGGGGUCUCCGAGUAGAGUGAGAAAUUCCGAAGGUUAGUGAAAAAUAACGAAGGAGGGAGGUAGUUUUUAUUUACUGCGAGAUGUGUAGGUGAUGUUUCGAGGUUUGGAAUGUUUCUGCUAUUUCGGGGUGUGGACUCUAGUAAACUAGGGACGUCUAAUGGCUUGGACCAAUUCGGUCGCUUGUCAGUUUUCGGCAGUGAUUUUUGUCGAGCGGCUUGGCGUCUUUCCUUUGGAGCUGGCGGCGGCUAUCUUCGGCCCUGCGGCCGCACUUGCUAUGUAGUUCUCACGCUAGGCUGUGAUUCUUAUGAGAGGAAUUCGACCGAACUGGUCCAAGCGAUUCGACAUCCCUAGUUUCUCCUAUGGCGAACACGAUGUUUGGUAUAGCAAUGUGGAAAUUGUACUCUGAUUGGCAAGGCGACCCUGUCGGCCAUGCAUCCUCGUCGAAUAUGGUUUUGUUAACGAUCCCUCGAGGAUAUUGUCCUCGGGCCAUUCUCCGAUCGUUGUGAAGUAGAUCGCAUCUCAGGGCGUUCGUCCUGUCUGCGGCGCACAGGUGGUACCUUCCUCUGUUUGGCAUUGGUUUCUUUUCCAGGAGCCUAUUUGGGUAAGCUGAGCUCGAGGAGGCUCUUGGGUGGUCAUCCAUGACCCUAAUUUGCGAUUGAUGCCGGAUACGGGCAUCCGACCAGGUCUUGGCUGGGUACCUGAUCAAGUUUUGUUUGAACUGCCCUGAAAUCGUCGGGCAUGGUUUGUUUAUGCUUUGAGUGAAUGCCAGUAUUGCCCGGUCAUCUGAGACCGAGGGUAAUCUCGUUCGUUCCAUUUGGGAACGUGGUGCAAAUUCCUGUGGCAUUUCAUUCUCCCUUUGUUCGACCCUAGAUGCAUCGGGCUUUCUCAUCGUUGCUUCGAUGGCGCCGGCGUGUGCCUUUAUGUAGGAAUCUACUGGUAUGGUGGGUGAUUUUAUCGGGCCGGGCGCUAGGUUAUGAUGCCAUAUCAUGGUUCCUUUCGAGAGUGUUUCCCCGAAACUCUUUGAUAAGACGGGCUUGAUCUCAUCAUCUUUUGGGUCGUUAGCUUUUUUCGCUCACGUAUAGGUUGUGAUAUGUUCGUUGGGAUCUGAGGUCCCGUUGUACCUAGGGAGUUCUGGCGUUUUGAGCUUCUUUGGAAUGGAUUCCGGGGUCGCUUCCUCGCGGGGCGGCCACUGCAUGAACUUCCAUGAUCCUCAUUUGAUUCUUUUGGUGAGAUCCCCAAACAUCUAUGCUAUGGCAGGGUCGGCUACCGAUCCAUUAUUGCUUGAUCUUUUGGGUACCUGUUCUGCAGGGGGAGCUGCUUCCGGCACCGCUGUGCCGGGAACCUCUGAAUGGCUUUUUAGCCAACCGAUGGCCAACUGUUGUGCCUGCAACAUCUCAAAAAUAAUGUGAAGACUAACUUUCUGUUCUUCCUUGGCUGGGGUCUUUUGGGCUUCCUAUUGGUUGCUGUGUUGUAUGCUUCCAUCAGUGCGCGGGGUUUCGUCGACCCGCUACGUGCCUUGCGAAAGCGCAUCUACUGGAAUUGGUCCAGGUGUGUUACCGAGGUUCUGCGGUGGCCCGACAAUGACUGGAACAGCCAUACCGUUUUCUCCGUGAUUUUCGAGGUAGUCGUUCUUAACCCCGUUUUCCGAGCCAGAAAUUUCGACUUGAAAUCAAGAGAACUUGGACAAGAAAAAGUGUGAAAGAUAACUUGCAUUUGUGUAGUGAAACUAGCAAGGAAAUAAUCACUAUUAUUUUUAGCCCCACGGUGGGCGCCAAACUGUUUACCGUGAAAAUGGUAACAACUAUUAAGUUUGUAAAUGGGAUUCUAAAAAUACGUGAUAUAUUUUUAUGCUAGUUGUUAGAGCAGUUGAUGCUGCGAGUAUGAAGUUUAAUGAAGAAAAACAAGCUAAAACGGGGCAAUAAUCAAACCGAGAUACCUGCAGCCCGAGCCUCGGACUAGUCGAUGAAGGACCUCGAGGUCGAUAUCUGGCUCGAGCUCGAUCUAUCGGGGGUAGUCGGGGAUGGGAUAACAAUUGAGAUAUGAUCAAACAAGGCUCUUUAUGGCAAAUACCAAGCAAUCAAUGGAGAACAAGUAUGAAGCUAAUAACACUAAGAGCGACCUCGAGCUAGUAGGAACGAGUAAGUUAUAAAGAAGAGAGAGAGAUAUAUUAUUGAUCUUGUGAAGAAAAUAGAUAGAGCAACAUCCGCCCCUUACAAAGUAUUAUGGGUUCCCUUUAUUUGGAGGGGAACCCGGUUAUAGUACAAUAUGCAUUAAUUGUAAGGUAUGGAGAUGGGAUGGCUAGACGUGAUGCUUCGGCAUAGGCUCUAGAUAGGCCGACUCUGCCAGACUUUACUUUGUGUCUUGGGAACUUCCCCUCACGCUCUAGCCCCGACCUUCAUCUUCAUGAGUCGGGCCCUGACAAGCCCCGAGGGAGGGGACUCAGUUGUAGCUCCAUGUCCUUGGGGUCUCGAGGUAUUCUUCCGAAGUGGCUUGACAGCAAGAAAUUAAGUCCUCUGAUUUCACCCCAUACAGUUUCAAAUCAUAUCAAAAAACCCCCAUAAAUGCAAAUAGCUCCAUGAAUCGAGAUUAUGAACUUUCAAAUCUUUCAACUUCUAGAACUCGCACCAAAACCUAUCAAAUCAACCCGGGAUGACGCCAAAUUUUGCAGACAAGUCCAAAAUAACAUAACAGAGCUGCUCCAACUCUCGAAAUCACAUUCUGACCCCGAUAUCAUAAAAGUAAACAAUGUGUUAAACUUUUUCAUUUUCCAAACUUCAACUUUUCCAACUUUCGCCGAAAUACCUCAAUUUACCUUACAGACCCCCAAAUCUGAAUCCGAACGCGCACCUAAGUACAAAAUCAUCAUACGAAGCUACUGACAUCAUCCAAACUCAUUGCAAAGUCGUUUACACAAAAGUCACAUUCCGGUCAAAUUCUCACGCUAGCUUCCAAAACUAGAUUCCUUCUUCCAAUUCGAUUUUGAAUCAUCUGGUAACUGAAUUCAACCAUGCAUGCAAGUCGGUAAACAUAAUAUGAAGCUUCUCACAACCUUAUGCCGUUGAAUAAAGAUUAAAUUCUCAAAACACCGGCUGGAUCAUUACAAGGCUAUCCCAUCUUUUCUUUUGGCAUGAUCCAUAUGUUACAAUGAAACGAACAAACACGCAAUUUUCACAAAUGACUCUAUUAUUAAAAGUAAUAGGGUUGCCUAUGUUUUUGAUUCCCCAUUUGACCUUUUAUUAUAUCGUCUAUUCAUGGGUCUCAUAAAAUAUGUAAGUUGAUAAUGUUUAUUUCAUGAUAUUAACAGAAGGCAUAUUGAUCUUAGGACAUCCCGAGAGAUCUUAUGCGCUACAUUGAUUUAGACAUGUACAUUUACCCCUGACCAGAUGACAUUCUAUAUGCAUAUAUUCACACCUACUUUUUACAACCCGAGGGGUAAUAUAAAGGAGUUUUUCAAUUUAAGUGACAUUAAUCGAAAUGAGAUUAUUUAAUUUAAUUUUUCGGAUUCGCCACUUGGGAUAUUUAUUAUGGUGUCCCAAGUCACCGGUUUAUUUUAAAAAUCCCAAAUCGAGGAAAUUUUUGACUUUAUUUAAAAGUCUGCGAACCAGAAAUUCUAGAUAAGGAAUUCUGUUAACCAGGGAGAAGGUGUUAGGCAUUCCCAAAUUCCGUGGUUCUAGCACAGUCGCUUAGCAAUUUAUACUUGGCUUAAAUUGUUUAACUACUCAUUUUAAGACCUAUGUGCAUUUAUUCCUUUAACCACUUUUAGUUGCUCGAUUAUUCGUAAUUUUUGAAAUUAUCUUAAAAGGAGUCACGCAUACAUGUACUCAUUUUGUUGGGCGCGUCAAGAAUCAUGUUACGUGUACGUGUCCGCAAUUAAUCACGCUUUAUUAAUAUUAAUAAAGUUUGGUUGAAGUUGCGCGAACGCAUACCUCGAUUUAUUUUUUUAGAAAAAAAAAACAUAUUUAUGUUACGCGAACGUAUACAUAAUCACGAUAAUAGACUAAGUCGCGCCUAAAGCAAACUUCAAUGUACUUAAUUGUUUCCCUAAGGUUCGGAAUUAUUGUAAGGCAAUGGAUUAUGGAUAACAAAUUAGCUAAAGAUGAUCACUUAAAGGAAUUGAUAAAUUAUGAAGAAGUGAUGGAAAUAACUUAAAAUCAUGGCCAUCUAACAUUGUUUGAACCAAAAGAAUAAGGGGAAAUGACAAAGGAAACUUGAACCAAAACUAACGAGAAUAUAGACCGACACUAUAUUAAUGAAGCUUAAAAGAAAACUUAUUUGGAAAGGAAAAGAGAAAAUCAUACUACCAGAUAUAUUACUCAUGGGUAUGAACAAAUACUUUAUUAUUAGAAAUUACAACAAGAAUCACCAAAGUUACAGUGAUUAUCCAACAAAACAUCAAUUUGAAGCUAGCUUAGAACAAAGAUCAGAAAAUUCCCGCAAAAAUCAACAUUUAAGAAUUGCAAUUAUAAAAAAAAUAGUGCGCAUAUUUCGAUUCACAACAAAUAAACAAGAGAAAGGCCAGCAUCAUAUUUUGAUUCACAAGCACAAUAUUAAAAUAAAGAGAGAAAAGAGUAAAUUGACCUCUUAUAUAACCAGCAAACCUCUGAAUGUGACAAUACUUAAAUCCAAAUGGAAAGUCUUUGACGAAUCAUUCUUUUAUAUUAAACAAUAAAGCUCCAAAUCAAGUGCACAUAAACAGUUGCUUCAAAACUCACGAACCAGCACCGAAAAUCCCGUACGGACGCCCCCAAGCUCGAACUGAAAACAGGGACAAUGAAAUGGUAGAAUGCUCGUGGACACAUGAAUUUUGGUGGCUGAUUUCGACCAAAUGAAUUUGUGGUUUUGGAGUGCUAAUAAUGUUGGUUUGCGACUGGUUUUUUGGAGGUGAGCAACGGUGGUGCUAGGAUGGUUUCAAUUUACACACAUGGCUAUUUUAUGAUGGAUGAAAAAUGGUAUUUGGUCUGCUAUUUCUCUGGUGUAAUAAAAUAGAGGUUACUUUUCCUACUCUUAGAUCUAAGUUCUUUUUAUCAAGGAAGAAGAAGAGUUCGCCUCUCUCUGUUGCUAUGUUUGUUCUUCGAAGAAAGGAGUUGCGCCCAGUUUUUCCCUUUUUCUUUUGUAUGUGCCUAGCUCUAGGUCUUAGGUUGACUGUUGAUCCUCU
rnacentral:lncRNA from 1 species